CUCCAGACUCCUACGGGAGGCAGCAGUAGGGAAUAUUGCUCAAUGGGGGAAACCCUGAAGCAGCAACGCCGCGUGGAGGAUGAAGGUUUUCGGAUUGUAAACUCCUUUUGUUAGAGAAGAUAAUGACGGUAUCUAACGAAUAAGCACCGGCUAACUCCGUGCCAGCAGCCGCGGUAAUACGGAGGGUGCAAGCGUUACUCGGAAUGACUGGGCGUAAAGGGUGUGUAGGCGGUGUAGCAAGUUAGAAGUGAAAUACCUAGAGCUUAACUCAGGUGCUGCUUCUAAAACUGCUAUACUUGAGUGCAGUAGAGGAAAGUGGAAUUCCUAGUGUAGCGGUGGAAUGCGUAGAUAUUAGGAGGAACAUCAGUGGCGAAGGCGGCCUGCUGGACGAUGACUGACGCUGAGGCUCGAAAGCGUGGGGAGCAAACAGGAUUAGAUACCCCAGUAAUG
rnacentral:rRNA from 1 species